UAACUAGCUUGUGUUAGACUCAAUAUGUUGUAAAGAAAUUUAAGUUACACUAGUUUUUAUUACAUUUAUUUCAGCUUGAUAGUUUGAAAAAGGUUGGUGGUGGAAAGCCAAGAGAAAAUGUUUUUUUGAUCAUGAAAAGGUAAAUGAUUAUGUUUUUAUUAAUUAUUAGAAAUAUGAUUAAAAGGGACCAAAAGCAAUUCAUUUUGACCGUUAUUUGUUAUGGAUUUACUUUUAACAUGACAAUUUGAUAAACUCGGGAGCUUCACUGUUAUUUUCGAAUCAGUUACAAUCCAAAUUAAAUCGAAAAGGAAAUGGGGAAAAGAUAAGCUUAGAAAAUCUAGUAAAUAUAUGGAGCGUUUUACGAGAUAUCGGCGACCUGGAAGAAAAUGUUGACGGCAAUGCAGAAAUAUAGUUUUAUGUAUAUUUUUGUGAAAUAAAAAUUAAGUAAUGUUA